rnacentral:rRNA from 1 species
GAUUAACGCUGGCGGCAGGCCUAACCCAUGCAAGUCGAGCGAGCGGCGGACGGGUGAGUAAUGUAUGGGGACUGCCCGAUAGAGGGGGAUAACUACUGGACACGGUGGCUAAUACCGCAUACUAUCGGAUAACCCAUAUGGGAUUAGCUAGUAGGUGGGGUAAAGGCUCACCCAGGCGACGAUCUCUAGCUGGUCUGAGAGGAUGAUAAGCCACACUGGGACUGAGACACGGCCCAGAAUCCUACGGAGGCAUCAGUGGGGAAGAUUGCACAAUGGUCGCAAGCCUGAUGCAGCCACGCCGCGUGUAUUAAGAAGGCCUUAGGGUUGUAAAGUACUUUCAGCGGGGAGGGGUUACCCGCAGAAGAAGCACCGGCUAACUCCGUGCCAGCCGCCGCGGUAAUUC